GAAUCCAAGUGCCCUCUUUGUAAAAAGCAAUGAGACUUCAGCAUCCUGCUGCCUGCCUUCAGAGUCAUGAAGAGCACAUUGUCAAGUAUGCAGGUUUUCAAAGGACCAUUAUGUGGUGUCUCUGUAUUUUGUCCUCAAGGCCCCUCUUCAAUUUUAACGAGGUUCAGACUUUAUUGCGCCAUUAAUGAGAAGACAAAGUAAAGACUGAAAUGAAAAAAAAUGUCUUGCUAUUCUGUUCCAUAGCACUGCGUUCUGCAGAUUUCAGAUCUUUUCUUUUAGAAGAAACAUCAGCCACCCUUCUCCAACAUCCAGCACAAGGCACAGCAACAUGGAAUCCUUCAGCAUUUUACUGAGGCAGAGAAGUGGUGUGCUGAGAACAUUUCUGUGUUCAGGGGGUGAGUCUCACUCCCUUCAUUACUGUCAAUGGACAAAUGCAACAUUGAGGAGGCCCUUCAGAAAUUUGAUUUGAUGUCUGAAUUUCCAGAAGAAGAGGAGAGGGAAUAUGUCUUUAGACAUAUUUUUUUCACAUACAGUAUGGAAGACAUGCAUCUGUAUUUAGAUAACGUGAGGGGAAAAAGGAAAAUGAUUGUAUUUUGUGAGAAAAUGUAACAAACAUACAUG